rnacentral:rRNA from 1 species
GAUGAAUGCUGGCGGCGUGCCUAAUACAUGCAAGUCGAGCGGUAAGGCCCUUCGGGGUACACGAGCGGCGGACGGCUGAGUAACGCGUGGGAACAUGCCCCAAAGUGAGGGAUAACGCACCGAAAGGUGUGCUAAUACCGCAUAUGGUCUUCGGAUUAAAGGAUUUAUCCGCUUUGGGAGUGGCCCGCGUACGAUUAGAUUGUUGGUGAGGUAACGGCUCACCAAGUCGACGAUCGUUAACUGGUCUGAGAGGAUGAUCAGUCAGACUGGAACUGAGACACGGUCCAGACUCCUACGGGAGGCAGCAGUAAGGAAUCUUCCACAAUGGGCGAAAGCCUGAUGGAGCAACGCCGCGUGCAGGAUGAAGGCCCUCGGGUCGUAAACUGCUUUUAUGAGUGAAGAAUAUGACGGUAACUCAUGAAUAAAGCACCGGCUAACUACGUGCCAGCAGCCGCGGUAAU